AUGAGCGGGCCGUCCAUGACGUGCUGGCGAGCUGGGGCGGCCGAAGUGACGUGGCCACUUCGCUAUGGCAGGACGCCUACCACGCCAGUCUGUCUCGCCUCUGGUGAUGAAGUGCUCGGCUCCAGUAGCGUCAGACUGGGGCCUCCUUGUGGUCACGAGGUGUUUGUGGAAAUGCCACAAUGCUGCUGCACGUGUGUUGCAGUCAAAGAGGGGAGAGUGUACCAUACCAACCGGAUGCUCAGCUUCUACGCCCCCAGUGAGCCUCCCCCAUUUGCUGAUUCUAAAACUGCUCAACCUUUUCAGAUCACCGAAGACUUCUCGACAAGUUGGUGUUGUAUGGCCUGGUUGAGCUCAAGGUUAACGGAGACAACAAUUGUCAGUUUCGGGCAUUGUCUGAUCCAUUUUACCGAACUCCUGAACACCAUAGAUUUGUGUGGCAACAGGUGGUCAAUCAGCAGCACAGCCGUAUGUACAAGAAGCAGAGCGCAUCAGUUCAUGCUCGAGCCCCGAAGAAGGUAG
rnacentral:rRNA from 1 species